rnacentral:rRNA from 1 species
GUCUUAUUGAAAAUAAUUUUAAGUCAAUCUGCCCAAUGAAAUAUUUAAAUGGCUGCAGUAUAACUGACUGUACAAAGGUAGCAUAAUCAAUUGGUUUUUAAAUGAAAUCUGGAAUGAAAGGAUUAAUGAAAUAUAUACUGUCUCAUAUUUAUUAUAUAAAUUUAAAAUUUUAAUUAAAAUGUUAAAAUUUAUUUAUGGGACGAUAAGACCCUAUAGAAUUUUAUAUUAAAUUAAUUUUAUAAUUAAUAUAAAAUUUAAUUUAAUAUUUAAUUGGGAGAAUUAUUAAAUUUAAUAAAUUUUAAUUUAUAUAAACUUUAAUUUAAGAAAAUAUUUUGAUUUUUAAUUUAAAAUUAUUAGAAUAAAUUACCUUAGGGAUAACAGCGUUAUAUUUUUUUAUAGAUCUUAUAGAAAAAAAUGAUUGCGACCUCGAUGUUGAAUUAAGAUAAAUUUUAAAUGUAGAAGUUUAAUAAUUAAGUCUGUUCGACUUUUAAAAUCUUACAUGAUUUGAGUUCAAAUCGACGUAAGU